UUGUUAAUUAUAACAUGAAAAUGACAACAUUACAUGCCAGGACUACAAUACAAAUGAAUGGGAGAACAUAUCGGAUAAGUGACAAAAUGACACAGAAAUUAACAACUAUAGGUCAUCGUACAGCCAUCAACAAUAAGCAAAGCCCGUACAGAAUAGUCAGCUAUAAAAGGCCCCGAAAUGAUAAAUGUAAAACAUUUCAAACGAGAAAACUAAUGGCC
rnacentral:lncRNA from 1 species